rnacentral:ncRNA from 1 species
CGAACAAGGAUAGAGAACAGGCUUGCCCGCUCUCCUGCGUCCCAAUGUGCCAAGAGGGACGACAACCCUCAAGGCACUAAAGUAUAUCAAAGUUUAAAAUUUCUGGAGAUAAAUCCUUUGCAGACGACUUAAAUAAAGAACGGGGUAUUGUACGUUGUAGAGUAGCCUUGUUGCUACGAUCUUCUGAGAUUAAGCCUUUGUUCUACGAUUUGU